CAUGAGUUAUGUCAUGUUAUCGACAUGUGAAUUCAUAGCAUGUCAGAAGGCAGACCCGGAGAACUGAAACAUCUUAGUACCCGGAGGAAGAGAAAGAAAAAUCGAUUCCCUGAGUAGCGGCGAGCGAAACGGGAAGAGCCCAAACCAACAAGCUUGCUUGUUGGGGUUGUAGGACACUCUAUACGGAGUUACAAAAGAACAUGUUAGACGAAUCAUCUGGAAAGAUGAAUCAAAGAAGGUAAUAAUCCUGUAGUCGAAAACAUAUUCUCUCUUGAGUGGAUCCUGAGUACGACGGAGCACGUGAAAUUCCGUCGGAAUCUGGGAGGACCAUCUCCUAAGGCUAAAUACUCUCUAGUGACCGAUAGUGAACCAGUACCGUGAGGGAAAGGUGAAAAGUACCCCGGAAGGGGAGUGAAAGAGAACUUGAAACCGUGUGCUUACAAGUAGUCAGAGCCCGUUAAUGGGUGAUGGCGUGCCUUUUGUAGAAUGAACCGGCGAGUUACGAUCUGAUGCAAGGUUAAGCAGCAAAUGUGGAGCCGCAGCGAAAGCGAGUCUGAAUAGGGCGUUGAGUAUUUGGUCGUAGACCCGAAACCAGGUGAUCUACCCUUGGUCAGGUUGAAGUUCAGGUAACACUGAAUGGAGGACCGAACCGACUUACGUUGAAAAGUGAGCGGAUGAACUGAGGGUAGCGGAGAAAUUCCAAUCGAACUUGGAGAUAGCUGGUUCUCUCCGAAAUAGCUUUAGGGCUAGCCUCAAGUGAUGAUUAUUGGAGGUAGAGCACUGUUUGGACGAGGGGCCCCUCUCGGGUUACCGAAUUCAGACAAACUCCGAAUGCCAAUUAAUUUAACUUGGGAGUCAGAACAUGGGUGAUAAGGUCCGUGUUCGAAAGGGAAACAGCCCAGA
rnacentral:rRNA from 1 species